CGUAUCACCCAAGACAACUUUACGGAGUUGACGAUUGACGGAGCGAAGCGACGUCAAAGCGUUCAUUAAAGUCGAGUUGGCUUAGGGAUACGUUCGUUGGGUAGGGGAGCGUUCUGUAAGCCUGUGAAGGUGUGUCGUGAGGCAUGCUGGAGGUAUCAGAAGUGCGAAUGCUGACAUAAGUAACGAUAAAGCGGGUGAAAAGCCCGCUCGCCGGAAGACCAAGGGUUCCUGUCCAACGUUAAUCGGGGCAGGGUGAGUCGACCCCUAAGGCGAGGCCGAAAGGCGUAGUCGAUGGGAAACGGGUUAAUAUUCCCGUACUUGGUGUUACUGCGAAGGGGGGACGGAGAAGGCUAUGUUGGCCGGGCGACGGUUGUCCCGGUUUAAGCGUGUAGGUGUGUGUUCCAGGUAAAUCCGGUUCACUUUAACACUGAGGCGUGACGACGAGGCACUACGGUGCUGAAGCAACAAAUGCCCUGCUUCCAGGAAAAGCCUCUAAGCAUCAGGUAACAUCAAAUCGUACCCCAAACCGACACAGGUGGUCAGG
rnacentral:rRNA from 1 species